GUGAAUCAUCGAAUCUUUGAACGCACAUUGCGCCCAUCAGUAUUCUGUUGGGCAUGCCUGUUCGAGCGUCAUUUCCACCCUCAAGCCCUGGCUGCUUGGUGUUGGGGUGCUCUACAGCCUGCUGUAGGCCCCGAAAAUCAGUGGCGGUCUCGCCGAGACCCCGAGCGUAGUAGAUUUCUCUCGCUCAGGGGCGAUCGGUGGGUUCUAGCCGUAAAACCCCCUAAGUCUUAAAGGUUGACCUCGGAUCAGGUAGGAAUACCCGCUGAACUUAAGCAUAUCAAUAAGCGGAGGA
rnacentral:misc_RNA from 1 species